GACGGAGUGAAUGAAAGUAAAGAAGCACGGUGAGAAGUUGGGUUCUGAAACAAGUGGAAGUAUACAUAAACUGUGAUUGUGACAAACCCAAUCACCUGUCGGAGAGAGACAGUCAAGUUUCUCAACACGUACUGCAUUUGGAGGCUUCUAAAAGUGAUUGUUUUAAAAGACAUUAAUGGAUGAUAUAUGCUCUGUAAUAUGUCAUAAAUAUAUAUGCCUGUAACAAAUAUUUUGUACAGUUAUUACAUGUGACCACAAAUUAAUGUUUUGACUCUCUUUGGGGGUUUUUUUGUAUUUACCAUAUAGAAAAGUUUUCUAUUUAUUAUGGCUAUUAAUUUCCUGUUUUAUACUUCUGUCACUUAUUAUAUUUAUAUACUUAUGAUAUGAAUAUUUAUUUGUAAAGCUGUGAAAUAUUUAAAUCGUGCUAUAGAAAUACAUUUGAAAUGAAGAAAAUUGAAUUGACUUAUUUUGUUGGUUUAGCUUACUUCAAAAUCGGAUACGUAUGUGUUUCCUAAUAUUUUCCUAGUAAGGUGAACACUAAUAUGUGUGAACUGACUUUUAGUAUUCGAGCGGAAGGUCCUCGCAGAUGGCUAUGUCAGGUCAGGUGACUCAGGUCUUGACAGACGACGUGAAAAUGAUGUGACCGUGCGGUCCGGAAUCGUUAAGUGGAAUCGACAUUUUCGAAAGGAUCCGAUUCCUUUCUUAUGGGUCCGAUUUUUUUCUUCGUCAAAUAAAUUAAUAAUAUUGAAACAUUUCAUACAGAUGAUCUGGAGAAGACAAAUGGGUUCUGCUUUGGUUAAUAAACAGUUGUUGUAGCUGUUGCCUGAUAUAUUGUGUAUGUUUGUUGUUUAUGUUAAGAUUUUUUUGUGAUGCAUUGAAAUGUGUUUUCGUUAUUGCAUUUUUGACGAUUUGUUGUCAAACCUUAAGGCGGAACAAUAAGAGCGUUUUUUGGCUCUCUUUCAAGAGCUGUCCUGUCACUGUUUUAAAGAGAUAGCUCAGUGGAAAAAUCGAAUU